rnacentral:lncRNA from 1 species
UCGAUCCCCUACUCUACUCGUGUAUGGAGAAAAGUCAGUUGGAAGGGGAGAACCCGCCUUGUGUGCCCAACAAGUUCCCCAACGGAGAUUACUCACUACUAAACAGCGGUGAAAACUUCGUACCUAUAUCAUGGUAACCCAAAUAUUAAGUGUCAUUUUAAUUUUUCAAGACAUAAUUUUUUCUUCAGUAUUUAAGAUAACAAUUGUUCUGUUUACAAUAUUUC